rnacentral:rRNA from 1 species
GUGGGGAAUAUUGGGCAAUGGGGGAAACCCUGACCCAGCGACGCCGCGUGAGGGAAGAAGGCCUUAGGGUCGUAAACCUCUGUCGUGUGGGAAGAAGAGCGUGACGGUACCACACGAGGAAGUCCCGGCUAACUACGUGCCAGCAGCCGCGGUAAUACGUAGGGGACGAGCGUUGUCCGGAUUUACUGGGCGUAAAGGGCGCGUAGGCGGUCAUUUAAGUCAGCUGUGAAAUGGUUUGGCUUAACCGGAUCAUGCGGUUGAAACUGGAUGACUGGAGUGCUGGAGAGGCAAGUGGAAUUCCCAGUGUAGCGGCGAAAUGCGUAGAUAUUGGGAAGAACACCGGUGGCGAAGGCGACUUGCUGGCCAGCAACUGACGCUGAGGCGCGAAAGCCAGGGGAGCAAACGGGAUUAGAAACCCCGGUAGUCC